rnacentral:miRNA from 1 species
UGCCCCUCUCUCCGUGACACACUGCUCCUCCGUGACACACUGCUCCGGGGCAGUGUGUCACGGAGAGAGGGGCAGU